UACAGAGGGUGCAAGCGUUGUUCGGAAUUAUUGGGCGUAAAGCGCGUGUAGGCGGCUUGGCAAGUCAGAUGUGAAAGCCCUCGGCUUAACCGAGGAAGUGCGUCUGGAACUGCUGAGCUUGAGUCUCGGAGAGGAUGGCGGAAUUCCGCAAGUAGAGGUGAAAUUCGUAGAUAUGCGGAGGAACACCGGUGGCGAAGGCGGCCAUCUGGACGAGUACUGACGCUGAGACGCGAAAGCGUGGGGAGCAAACAGG
rnacentral:rRNA from 1 species